AUUGCACACUGGCGGCAGGCCUAACACAUGCAAGUCGAGCGGAGCGGCGGCCGGGUGAGUAAUGCCUAGGAAUCUGCCUGGUAGUGGGGGAUAACGUCCGGCACCGGGUGCUCAUACCGUCUACUAUCAGAUGAGCCUAGGUCGGAUGAGCUAGUUGGUGGGGUAAAGGCAUACCAAGGCGACGAUCCGUAACGGGUCUGAGAGGAGGAUCAGUCACACGGGAACUGAGACACGGCCCAGACUCCGACGGGAGGCAGAAGUGGGGAAUAUUGCACAAUGGGCGCCAGCCUGAUGCAGCCAUGCCGCGUGUAUGAAGAAGGCCUUCGGGUUGUAAAGUACUUUCAGUCGGGAGGCGUUACCGACAGAAGAAGCACCGGCUAACUCCGUGCCAGCAGCCGCGGUAAUUC
rnacentral:rRNA from 1 species